rnacentral:rRNA from 1 species
UAUCCCCCUGUGUGCCUUGCCCCCACGACUGCAAAACGCGAAGAACCUUACCUGGUCUUGACAUAGUAAGAACUUUCCAGAGAUGGAUUGGUGCCUUCGGGAACUUACAUACAGGUGCUGCAUGGCUGUCGUCAGCUCGUGUCAUGAGAUGUUGGGUUAAGUCCCGCAACGAGCGCAACCCUUUUCCUUAUUUGCCAGCGGGUUAAGCCGGGAACUUUAAGGAUACUGCCAGUGACAAACUGGAGGAAGGCGGGGACGACGUCAAGUCAUCAUGGCCCUUACGACCAGGGCUACACACGUGCUACAAUGGUCGGUACAAAGGGUUGCUACCUAGCGAUAGGAUGCUAAUCUCAAAAAGCCGAUCGUAGUCCGGAUUGGAGUCUGCAACUCGACUCCAUGAAGUCGGAAUCGCUAGUAAUCGCGGAUCAGAAUGCCGCGGUGAAUACGUUCCCGGGUCUUGUACACACCG